UCUGUUUGGAGUUGUUUCACCUUCUCAAAUCCCUUUUGUUUCCCUCCUCAAACGGCAAGUGAGAGCUGAACAACCUAAAGUAUGGGUUCACGUAUCAACUGCAUGAAAUGGCUGCUGCGAUAUUGGCCCGGUUCACUCAGAUACAGGAUACACCUACACUUCCAAAGAAAAAAAAAAAGGUGUACUUUUGAUUUGAUUGAGCCGUGCCAAUAUCUGAGUUCCCUUUCAUUUCUACCAUUCCGAUCAAGUUUGAAGAUUCGUCUUGUACCAACAUUCUCGAUGGCCAUAUACGAUUGCAAGCCAUAAGGGUGACUGCCACUCAGAAGGACCUGCAGCAUCUUGAAACGGAGAAAAUGGAGAUGGUGCAACUCUAGGGUUGUUUUAUUUCCUGUAUUGCAAGUGGGUGAAGACGACUCAUAUAUCUAAGAUCCUUGCAAUACAUGGCCUUUGGGUCCGGUUCAUUUGGAUCAAACAUCUAGUGCUUAUAUUAAUUUCUCUUUCCUAAAUUAAUUCUCCUCAGUUGAAGCCUGAAGGCUGGAUAUUGACUCAUGUAUUAUCUAAAAUUUUAUAUCUGGGUCCAGCUCGAAGCUUUGGCCAUGAUUAUUCAUCAGAAACCUUGCUUACAAGGACAUGGCUUCUAGAUCUUUAUUUGAACUUUAACUUAACUUGUAAGAACAGAACUCUUGCCAAUAAAAGCUUAUGGCUUAAGCAAUGA